GGCUUAUCUGUGAUGCGCAAUUACAAUUACAAAUGUCUGAACUUAUGAUUCAAUACUGAUUUGGACAUUUAACUGAGAUAAGCU